GGAUGAACGCUGGCGGCGUGCUUGAUACAUGCAAGUCGAACGGAGAGUGUAGCAAUAUACUUUUAGUGGCGAACGGGUGAGUAACACGUGGGUAACCUGCCCAUAAGAGGGGGAUAACAUCCGGAAACGGGUGCUAAUACCGCAUUAGUUUUCUUGAUCGCAUGAUUGAGAAAGGAAGACGGCCUUUGUGCUGUCGCUUAUGGAUGGACCCGCGGCGUAUUAGUUAGUUGGUGAGGUAACGGCUCACCAAGACGAUGAUACGUAG
rnacentral:rRNA from 1 species